ACAUCCAGAAUUCGGCGGGUAAGCCGAAACCGCCGCUCGGCCGGCUGGUAAGGAUCGGUUGCGGUGCCGAUGACCAGCGGCUGACCGGCCAGCCGGGCCGGAUUGAGGGUGCGCCCGAGUACCUCGGCGACUUCGGAUUUGACCAGGAUCUCGCGUUCGAAGGCCUCCUCGGGCGGUAGGGCGGACGAACGGCCCGCCCUCUCCACCGUCCACCGAUGCGUGUCCCUC
rnacentral:misc_RNA from 1 species